GAGCUUUGAGCAUGUGUGCUCGUAGUCGCUUUUGCCUGGAAAGAUGCCGGGCUUGGCGGCCGCUAGCCUUGCCCCGCCUGAGGCUCAGGAGAGGCAGCCUCUGAAGCCCUGGUGUGCCUGCCCAGAGACUAAGAAGGAGCGAGAUGCCUGCAUCAUUGAGAAAGGAGAAGAACACUGUGGACAUCUCAUUAAGGCCCACAAGGAGUGCAUGAGAGCGCUGGGAUUUAAGAUAUGACAUGGUAGCCUACUUUGUGAAUGAAGAAUCCCUGAAGAAUGAAGAAGAUUAAAUAUUUUGGAAGUUCUUUGAUGAACUUUGAUAAGCAGAUAAAAUAUUUAUAAUUUAUUUUAAAAAAGGAAA